AUGUUAGCCCGGUCGGAGCGGGAUUCUUGGAGCCACAAGUACCGGAGACAGCUUUCCACUGACGUCCAGCAGUACCGGCAUAUGACGGAGAUACUACACCGGUCGAGCGGAAUGGCAGUGCAUGGUUUGUCUGGAGAUGCUGUGAGUCUGAAGGGAACUCUGUCAGCGUAUGAGGAAAACGUCCCAAUAGGUGAGUUUAUCAAUUCCAAUUUAAUGCUGUCAAACCAUCUUUAACUAAUUAUAUAUAAUAUAUAUAAAAUUGGUGAUUGCUCACCAGUUAUGAACAUUCAUUGAAAUACUUGGAAAUUCCACAUUUCAAGAGCGUUACUAGAGACUGUCACACGUUUUUUUUCCCAAAAUUUUCAGUGUUAUGAUGCAAGUCAAGUUACAGUAAGUACUUUCUUGACAGAUGAUUGGUUAACACUACAAGUAAACGUGAGUGUUAGUGAAUAUGAAAAUGCUGUAUCAGUGAUGAAGUUGUUUAUCUAUGAUGUGAUCAAAGUAGAGCUGAAUCAGAAUAGUUUACUAUUCUUAUACUAUAUACGUAGUUAUUCUAUCUUCUUAUAGAAAUACUAGAAUAACUCGCACGUUAAUGGCUAUUUUUUAAUAUCACAUCAUCACUGCAUUGUCAAUGAUGUUUUCCCCUCCUGUAAGAAUUCCACUUGGGAGUAAGGCUCACCUGUCUAUUGUAUCAUUCAGCAAACUCUGAGAUUUGCAGCUGAGAAUGCCAGUCUGGGUCAGGUGUAGCUCAUAUGUCUGUGAAGGUUCUCAGUCAUCCAGGUCAUCGUAGUCAAAGGAGUUUGCAAAGAAAAGCGUCUGGACUUCUUCGAGUUGCUUGAAGACGUUUCACCUCUCAUCCGAGAAGAACUGAAGAAGCUUCUCGGAUGAGAGGUGAAACGUCUUCAAGCAACUCGAAGAAGUCCAGACGCUUUUCUUUGCAAACUCCUUUGACUGUAGCUCAUAUGGUCAUGACAAAAUAGCCAUUAACAGGUACUAGAGGCUAGACAGCUUUGGUAAAGGUCCUGGUAAAACCUUGUGUUAGGAUGCCUGGGUCGACCCAGAGGUUUCGAGUUUAUUAUAUUAUUUAUCAUUUCUAGUCUUUGGUUUCUUUGUUGAAGUUCUGUCUGAUGGUUUAUGUCUCUGUGUAAUCCUUAGUUGCUGUCUCCCCUGUCGGCUAUAUCCCCGUGUCCAGUCAGUGUCUGUCUGCCCUGUUCCCACCUCUCUGUUCCCUCUGUAGUGCUUGCCUGUGAGUCUGUGUCUGUAAGUUCAGUCUGUGUUACUUCCUGUUUUACUUUGAAGGUCCGCGUCUUAUCUGAAUGUGUCCUGCUUUGCUUCCUUGUCUCGUUAGUUCUGAUUUCUCCCAGUUGUGCCCUCCUUCUGUGUCUCAUUCCCCUCAAAGGAGUUGCAAAGAAAAGCGUCUGGACUUCUUUAAGUUGCUUGAAGACGUUUCACCUCUCAUCCGAGAAGCUUCUUCAGUUCUAAGGUCAAAAGGCCGAGAGUCCCAGAUUUAAACCCAGUGGGAGUAUCCCCCCAAGGAGGGACAAAGGACCCCCUGGUGAUCCUCUAAUCACAUGCGCCAAGGUGUGAAAGCGGGUGUGGGACCUAAUCAGCCAGGGUUUCGGGUGAGCCCAUUGUGAAACCUGGCCCCACCUUGUCAUGUGAAUUCCUGAGGUCAGAUGGCCCAGGAUGUGAGUGGGCGUUAAGGCGUCUGGGGAGGGAACUCAAAACUGGAUUAUAGAUGGCAGACAGUUGGUGUCGUAAACCACCACCUCUGUUCAAAGAUGGUCGCUCACAGUGGACAUAGAUGGCCUCUUUCACUCCUCUUUCAAAGACGCCUUAACGCCCACUCACAUCCUGGGCCAUCUGACCUCAGGAAUUCACAUGACAAGGUGGGGCCAGGUUUCACAAUGGGCUCACCCGAAACCCUGGCUGAUUAGGUCCCACACCCGCUUUCACACCUUGGCGCAUGUGAUUAGAGGAUCACCAGGGGGUCCUUUGUCCCUCCUUGGGGGGAUACUCCCACUGGGUUUAAAUCUGGGACUCUCGGCCAUUUGACCUUAGAACUGAAGAAGCUUCUCGGAUGAGAGGUGAAACGUCUUCAAGCAACUUAAAGAAGUCCAGACGCUUUUCUUUGCAACUCCUUUGACUACGAUGACCUGGAUGACUGAGAACCUUCACAGACAUAUCUCAUUCCCCUCGUUACUUCCCAGUGUACUUAAACCCUGUGUUUCUUUGAGUCAGUGUCGCGUCGUCCCUCAUGCUGUGUGGAUCUCCCUGUGUUUCCUGUGAGUUUAUGUUGUUUCCUAGUUUAGUUUAGUUUAGUUUAGUUUGCUUUCCUUUGUAUGCUUGUUUUCCCGUGCCAGCAAAUAAAGCUGAGUAUUUUGAGUUCAUCCCUUGAGUCUGAGUCCUGCAUUUUGGGUCCAUCACUCCUGCUUGCCUGCCUGCCACACAGCCAACCUUAACACCUUGGUGCACAGUCACAUUGCUAAUAGGUAAACAGUGGCUGGCUAUAAACAAAAUUCCCUGCUCACCUUUGCGGGUGGCAUUUU
rnacentral:lncRNA from 1 species